UAGGGAAUCUUCGGCAAUGGACGAAAGUCUGACCGAGGCAACGCCGCGUGAGUGAAGAAGGUUUUCGGAUCGUAAAACUCUGUUGGUAGAGAAGAACGUUGGUGAGAGUGGAAAGCUCAUCAAGUGACGGUAACUACCCAGAAAGGGACGGCUAACUACGUGCCAU
rnacentral:rRNA from 1 species